rnacentral:misc_RNA from 1 species
UCGUAACAAGGUUUCCGUAGGUGAACCUGCGGAAGGAUCAUUACCGAGUGAGGGCCCUCUGGGUCCAACCUCCCACCCGUGUUUAUUUUACCUUGUUGCUUCGGCGGGCCCGCCUUAACUGGCCGCCGGGGGGCUCACGCCCCCGGGCCCGCGCCCGCCGAAGACACCCUCGAACUCUGUCUGAAGAUUGAAGUCUGAGUGAAAAUAUAAAUUAUUUAAAACUUUCAACAACGGAUCUCUUGGUUCCGGCAUCGAUGAAGAACGCAGCGAAAUGCGAUACGUAAUGUGAAUUGCAAAUUCAGUGAAUCAUCGAGUCUUUGAACGCACAUUGCGCCCCCUGGUAUUCCGGGGGGCAUGCCUGUCCGAGCGUCAUUGCUGCCCUCAAGCCCGGCUUGUGUGUUGGGCCCCGUCCUCCGAUUUCCGGGGGACGGGCCCGAAAGGCAGCGGCGGCACCGCGUCCGGUCCUCGAGCGUAUGGGGCUUUGUCACCCGCUCUGUAGGCCCGGCCGGCGCUUGCCGAUCAACCCAAAUUUUUAUCCAGGUUGACCUCGGAUCAGGUAGGGAUACCCGCUGAACUUAAGCAUAUCA